rnacentral:rRNA from 1 species
CGGGACACGUGGUAUCCUGUCUGAAUAUGGGGGGACCAUCCUCCAAGGCUAAAUACUCCUGACUGACCGAUAGUGAACCAGUACCGUGAGGGAAAGGCGAAAAGAACCCCGGCGAGGGGAGUGAAAAAGAACCUGAAACCGUGUACGUACAAGCAGUGGGAGCACGCUUAGGCGUGUGACUGCGUACCUUUUGUAUAAUGGGUCAGCGACUUAUAUUCUGUAGCAAGGUUAACCGAAUAGGGGAGCCGAAGGGAAACCGAGUCUUAACUGGGCGUUAAGUUGCAGGGUAUAGACCCGAAACCCGGUGAUCUAGCCAUGGGCAGGUUGAAGGUUGGGUAACACUAACUGGAGGACCGAACCGACUAAUGUUGAAAAAUUAGCGGAUGACUUGUGGCUGGGGGUGAAAGGCCAAUCAAACCGGGAGAUAGCUGGUUCUCCCCGAAAGCUAUUUAGGUAGCGCCUCGUGAAUUCAUCUCCGGGGGUAGAGCACUGUUUCGGCAAGGGGGUCAUCCCGACUUACCAACCCGAUGCAAACUGCGAAUACCGGAGAAUGUUAUCACGGGAGACACACGGCGGGUGCUAACGUCCGUCGUGAAGAGGGAAACAAC